CAAGUGCGAUACGUAGUGCGAGACGCACCUGUGAGACAUUGAGUUUUUGAACGCAUUUUGCACUCGCAAGAGUACAUCUGUCAGAGUCGGAGAGAAUAUGUAACGAUGGUUAUAUUUGUGUACUAGUGUACAUGGAGACAAUAAGAGAAACAGACAAAUAGUCUAUUCUCUAUCUACCACUUUCGCUCUGAUCAGAUGAGAGCACCCGCUGAACUUAA
rnacentral:misc_RNA from 1 species